AUACUCCUCCCUACACCGUAUAUAAGGACCUGUGUUUACGCUUUAGUAUGUAGAGCAUCCUCCAAAUUCUUCCCAAGGCAUUAAUAAUCCGAGCACAGCAGAAUGAAUUCCAAACAGCUUUUGGUUUUAGUUUUGGUGGCUUCUGUCCUGACUGCUUCCUGUGACGCCCAGCUCUUUGGUCGAAUUGGUGGUCGGCGUAGGGGCAGGAGAGGAGGAGGUUUACUCGCAGGGAUUGGCCUUGGACUCCUUGGGGCAGGUCUUCUGGGAGGAUUUAACAGGCCUUACUACGGAGGGUUUGGCGGCUACCCUUACGGAGGAUUCGGGUAUCCUUAUGGAGGUUUUGGCUACCCAUAUGGGGGAUAUGGCUUCCGUGGUGGAUAUCUACCUAUUUUUUAGAUAUAGGUUCGACUUCUCUGUUGUGUUUGUGGAUCUCGUGCCUAGGAAAUUCAAGAAUGCAAUGUGUACAGAUAGAUGUUUUUGGAUAAAUUUAAUAAAAGAAUUAAAAAACAUAA